rnacentral:lncRNA from 1 species
GUCCAGAUUUUGUACAAGGGAUACAACUUUAUAUUAUUUUUCUUUUAUUAAUUUUUUUUAUUGAUUUUAAAAUUUUUAGUACAAACUGGUUCUAAAAAAAGAACCAAAAAAAUCAAAUCAUACAAUCAAUAGUAUGCCACAUUUAUCAACAUUAAUAAAGGGCUUUUGUGGAUCGGUGAGGCAAAAUAUCAAGACAUAACAAAUACACCAUAAUACAUAUACAAAACAACUCUACAUUAUUAUAUCUAUUAUUGUAAAACAAUCAGAAAAUAUAUGUAUUACCAAUAAAUAAAAAGAGAAAACAGGAUAAAGAAACAAUUCAAGUAAAACAAAAGACUUUAUGGCAGAGAAAAUAUCCACAUUUAGAAAACAUUGCCAAGUAAAAUUACUCUGAAGGCAGACGAUGUAUCUAAAUUAGAUCAUGGCCCAUUUCGAGUACAACUAGUGCAGCAUAAGAUAAACUUAAACUUGUAAUGCAUUCAACAAUCUAAACCCUUGACAGUAAUAGCUACACAAAUACACAUACAAAUUCAACAUUAGUUAACGGUUUUUGGUUGUAACUAGCUGAAAAAAGGGUACUGUUCUUCCUUGUUUGAAUAUACAGGUACUCCUCACUUACCGACCGGGUUCUGUUCCUAUGCCCUCGCAGUAGAAUGAAUUGGUCGGUAAGUGAGGAGUUAAGGGAUUUCCUGCUCUUGUGUGCUUGUCUAUGUUCGGGGAAACAUCCCCGAACAUAGACGAAGCACCAGAACAGGGAAUCCCUCUAAUCUAUGCUUGUAAGUGCAAGCCGUCGUAAAACAGGUAGGUCGCAAAACAAGGACCACCUGUACUGUAACAUAUAGACAUUUCUUUUUUUAAUUUACUUUUAUUUAUUAAAUUUUUUAUUUACAUUUUAAAAUGUGUAACAAUUGUUAAACAAUAACACAGCACACCACCUCACACACAUACAGUGUCGUAAGCAAAAAGCAGUUUCAGAGUGUCCAAUGUCAGGACUUCAUUUCAUGUACAAUAAAUAGUAUUGGGUGCUGCAAUUGCACAGUUGAUAUAAUUGUAGUUUUCUUGAUUUGUUUUAUUUUAUUUUUGAUAAUAAACCUCUUUUGAGCAUUUUUACUAUAAUGGGUAAACAUGAUCAAAAGUGGUAGUGUGGUAGUUUCAUAAUAUUUCUGUACUCACAUGUGAUCAACACAUCAGUAUUAAUCAUUCAUACUCAAAGUUCCUCACAAACCAAAGUGCUAAUUAUCAGAUUUAUUUUAUAGCUGACAUACUUCUAAAAAAAGCAAUCUAAGAUCACUCAUACAUACAACAAUAUUUGUAGUUGUUACAGUUGUGUGCAGAUCUUUGACUUUAGGGGUCUUAGCAAAGAAUCCCAAUGGUGGCAUGCCCGUUAGGUGUGUGCAGAUGAAGGGGAAAAUCAAACAGCAUACGUACUCACCAAAUGCUAUUCCUUGCAGGUGUGUCAUCAGCUUCAUUUACCAGGAGCCCAUGUCAUUGUUGUACCCACAUAAAUGUGUUAAGAGUACACAACGAGGUCUAUGGAAGAUCCCACAAAACCACAGAAUCCUACACAGAACUACUUUUGUAGUGACUUUCCCCAUAGACACCGCUAGUGAUGACUGCUGGAAAGUCACAAAGUUGAUGGUAGAAGUUCUCCCUUUGGUCAACCUUGGCUUCGUCCAUAAGACAUAUCAGUUUCUACUUUGUUUUUACAAAUUUUUGGAUGGCGAUGGAAUUUCAAGGAAAUUCAAUAUGAAUAUUUCAGAAAGAUUAUACAUUUAUGGAAUAUUCAGAAGUUACAGAGCCACUUUAAAUUACAACUGUUACAUCCUUGGAGAUGACAACUCUGCCAUGGAAAUCCUAUUAAGAGCUUGAGUAUUGCUGCAGAAGUAAAUAUACUUUGUUGAAGGUACACUUCAUGUAUGCUGCAGUGACCAUUUAACAUGAAACCUUUUCUUACUGUGUGAUCUUUCCUAUAUUCUGCACAUCUGUCUUUCUACCUACCUAUCUAUGGAAUUAUCUGUCUGUCUAUGUACAUAAUACCUAUUGUGCUGUAAAUGGUAUAUUUCCCUUUAAAUUCAUGUGUGAUCCGCAAUUAAAGUACAACUGUCACCUCAAAACUAUUGUAAAUAUAAUAAUACUUUUAUCAAGUUAAAAAAAAAGGAUAUGUAAAAAAUGAGAAAAACAUAUCCCUAACUUCAGUAUAUGACAGGGUGUAGCUUAGGUCAGACACUGUUUGAAAACUGACAAUCAGUCUCUAUAACCUUUCCUGCUUCACUAAUUGUCGGAUUUUAGAGUGUCGAACCCAAGCUGCAUGUAUAUGGCUGAAGGAUCUUGUCAUAUACUAAUGGUAGGAAUACAUUUAUCUUGUUUUCUAAAUAUACCUCAUUUAAAAAAAAAUAUAUAUUUCAUUUCAAAACUUGAUGAAAGGAUUAUUAUAUUAAAAAAUAGUUUUCAGGUGAGAAGUGUCCUUUAUAUAAUACGCUGCAGCAUACAAAGUUGUAAUAGGUACUGAGAGAGGGUAAGCUCUCAUUGUGUUCUGUUUGUUGAAAAUUAAUUAUCUAAAUAGUUUUAAGAAAUAUCAUACAAGUAAGUUCACUGUGAGUGGCCCAACUCAGUGUUUCUGAAUUGACAAUACUAUAAACAGUCUGUUUUUUUGUUUCAUAACUCGGUGUAAACACUUGCUGGGUAAAACUGUUUUUUAUUACACUGAGGUUUCAGUUUAAUUAUAAUAAUAGAGAUCCAGCUUUUUAAUAAUAACAGAUUGCAGUGGCAAAUUAGUGUUGUAGCAAUAUGUGCUAGUGAGAGUGAAAGCCAAAUCAGAGCAGCAGGUUCAUUAUCUAUGGAAGCCUUCAAGUUGUCAUCGAAUUAUCCCAUCUCUUGUCAGCUUUUAUUUUCACCACUUAAACACUGCCUCCUGCCUGCUCGUCUGAAUGCCGUAUCUGUACUUCUCAUUAACAGAAGGAUUGCUCAGAUGCAUGCCAAACUUUCUUUUAAUCCAGUUAGCUGAUAUAUUUGUGAAAUUCAUACAGCAAAUAUUUAAAAUAAAUAAAUAAAUAAACUAAACCAGCUUCACUGUGAACAUCGACAAAGAUACGUGCAGGGUUAUUUGCUAAAGUGAGAAUUUUAGGGAAUUCAAAGUAAAUAUAAGGCCAAACUAGCCAAGUCAUCUUUCCUUGUAAUUCAGCUUUACAUUUUAAAAUUACUCUGAAUUACCUACAAUUCUCAAUUUAGUGAUAACCCAAGUUAUCAUCCUGUGCAGAAACCAUUAUACUCAAAGAGACAAAGCUGUUCUCCAUUUUGAAGGAAAUGUCUAAAAACAUUGGACUUUAUAUCCUUUGCAUUAUGGGUACAAGCCAGUCCUGUCUCUGCUCACCGUCUUCUAACUGCAACACAAAUCACUGCAACUACACGCCCAUCCCAUUCCCUCACUCAAAUAUACUUAGAUUAUAAGUAUUAUUAUUAUUAUUAUUAUUAUUGCCAUUUAUAUAAUGCAAUAUUAUGAGAGGGGGGAUUUAACUAUAAAUAGGACAAUUACAAGAAAACUAACAGGAACGAAAGGUUGAAGAGGGCCCUGCUCAAACGAGCUAACAGUCUAUAGGAAGUGGGGUAUAAAAUACAAUAGGACAGGAAAUAGCAAUCAAAUAAGGUGGGAGUGAAGCAGAGCUGGAGGAGAAAAUAAAGUGCUGCCCUUUAGGAGAGAGCAAGAGACAGGUGUGUGACGUAGAGGUUACUCUGGGAGGCCAUAAGCUUUCCUAAAGAGAUGGGUUUUAAGGCACUUCUUAAACGAUUGAAGACUAGGGGGAGAGUCUGAUGGCGGUAGGCAGGCUAUUCCAUUGGAAGGGAGCCGCCCGCGAGAAGUCCUGCAAACGUGAGUUGGCAGUACGGGUGCGAGCAGCGGACAGGAGAAAGUCAUGGGCAGAGCAGAGAGACCGAGAAGGGGCAUACCUAUGGAUCUGUGAAGUGAUAUAAGAGGGGCUUGAAUUGUUCAGUGCUUUAUAGGUAUGGGUUAGCACUUUGAACUGACUCCUAUAAGAUAUAGAGAGCCAAUGUGAGAACUGACAAAGGGGUGAGGUGUGAGAGGACCGACUAUAGAGAAAAAUCAGGCUGGCGGCAGCAUUCAUUACAGACUGUAGUGGGGCAAUAUGGCUUUUGGGAAGACCAAUUAAGUGGGGGUUACAAUAAUCCAUGGUAGCAUUUUGCGUAAGAAAGGGGCAGAUGUGGGCUAUGUUUUUAAGAUGGAAUCUACAGGAUUUGGCAACAUACUGGAUGUGAGGCUCAAAGGUGAGGCCAGAAUCAAGAAUGAUGCCAAGACAGCGCGCUUGCAAGGAUGGACUUAUGUGGAUACCACUAACUUGAAGGGAGAGCGAGAGAGGAGGAUCAGUAUUAGGAGGAGGAAAGACAAGGAGUUCAGUUUUAGAGAGAUUGAGUUUCAGAAAGUGUGAGGACAUCCAGUCAGAGAUGGAAGAAAGGCAAGCAGUGACACGUUGCAGGACGGCAGGGGAGAGGUCCGGGGAGGAGAGAUAUAUCUGGGUGUCAUUAGCGUACAGGUGGUAGUGGAAUCCAAAUGAGGUAAUAAGUUUGCCAAGAGAGGCAGUAUAAAGAGAAAAUAGAAGGGGACCAAGAACAGAGCCUUGGGAUACUCCAAAAGAGACAGGACGAGGGGAGGAGGUAUCAUUAGAAAAGGAGACACUGAAUGAGCGUUGGGAGAAAUAAGAGGAAAACUACGAGAGGACAGCGUCACAGAGACCAAGAGUUUGAAGAAGGAGAGCAUGAUGUUUUUUUCAGGAUAGAUACUACAGUGGCAUGUUUAAGGUCAGCAGGGACAACGCCAGAAGAGAGAGCAGUUGAAGAUGUGUGUUAAGGAAGGCACAAGACAAGGGGAGAGAGAUCUGAUAAGGUGAAAUGGGACAGGAUGGAGCGGGCAAAUGAUGAGGCGAGAGGAAAGGAGAAGCGCAGCCACCUCUUGUUCAGUAGCCCGGGAGGAAGGCUGAAGGGUAGGAAAGGCAUGAUCUACAUUGGUUGAGAAAGAGAACAGCAAGGUGGAAUGCAUUAUUUCCUUAGCUGUUCAAUCUUGUCAGUAAAGUAGCUUGGAAAGCUAUCGGCUGUAAGGCUAGUUUGGGUGUUGGCCAGAGCAGGGCAAAGAAGAGAGUUAAAGGUGUCAAAGAGACACCUGGGAUUGCGGGGAGCAUGAUUUAAUGAGAGAGGAAAAGUAUGACUGUUUAUAUAAGUAUAUAAUAUACUAUCCUGAGAGGCUACACAGUCAGAGUUUCUAGGAGUUGCAGCUCAACAGUCUGUUUUCUCCAUGUAGUAGAAAACUGAUACAUAACUCCCAACUUUGCCCCUCAGAGAAUCCUGAAGGGAAUUCUUUCCAAGGGACAUCGCCAGUGACACAUUGUACAUAACUGGUAACGCCCACAAUGGUCAAGCCCUCCCAGGAAGUAGGCACUUCCACCCACUGAAUGGGAUGUGUGAGCCUUGAGUCAAGUACACCAGGCUCACAGACAGCCUCCAGGCCAGCCCCCAACAUAGACCGCAUCCAGGCCAGACCCUUACACAGACAGCCUCCAGGCCAGCCCCCUAAAUAGACAGCCUCCAGUUCAGCCCUCUUCAUAGAUAGCCUCUACUCAGCCCUCUGCGAAGACAGCCUCCAGGCCAGCCCCCUACAUAGAUAGCCUCACUUCUAGCCCUUACAUAGACAGCCUCCAAGCCAGCUCCUUCCAUAGACAACCUCCAGGUCAGCCCUCUAGAUAGAUAGCCUCCAGGCCAGCCUCUUCCAUAGACAGGCUCCAGGCCAGUCCCUUCUAUAGACAGCCUCCACUCCAGCCCCUUACAUAGAACGCCUCCAGGCCAGACCCUUACAUAGACAGCCUCCAGGCCAGACCCUUACAUAGACAGCCUCCAGGCCAGACCCAUACAUAAACAUAGACCACAAUGGUCAAGCCCUCCCAGGAAGUAGGCACUUCCACCCACUGAAUGGGAUGUGUGAGCCUUGAGUCAAGUACACCAGGCUCACAGACAGCCUCCAGGCCAGCCCCCAACAUAAACCGCAUCCAGGCCAGACCCUUACACAGACAGGCUCCAGGCCAGCCCCCUAAAUAGACAGCCUCCAGUUCAGCCCUCUACAUAGAUAGCCUCCAGUUCAGCCCUCUACGAAGACAGCCUCCAGGCCAGCCCCCUACAUAGAUAGCAUCCCUUCUAGUCCUUACAUAGACAGCCUCCAAGCCAGCUCCUUCCAUAGACAACCUCCAGGUCAGCCCUCUAGAUAGAUAGCCUCCAGGCCAGCUUCUUCCAUAGACAGCCUCCAGGCCAGUCCCUUCUAUAGACAGCCUCCAGUCCAGCCCCUUACAUAGAAAGCCUACAGGCCAGACCCUCACAUAGACAGCCUCCAGGCCAGACCCUUACAUAAAGAGCCCUCUUCAAGGUCCUAGUGCAACUUGCACAGCGCAAGGGUGUCUAAUGAUGCGCUCGCAUUGUGCUACCCGAGGACUAUUCCCUGGUGUCUGUAGACCAAAAGGCUUUUUUUUUUAUUUGAACUAUUUGCUAGCUGGUAUAUACUAGAUAAUUUUUUGCUAAUUUACACAUUUUAUAUGACCAAAGCUCUUUUACAAAAUGAACAAGUAACUACAACUGUGCUCUGCUAGUAAAGAUGGCUUCACUCUAUAGCAUGAUAAUGAAGCCCAAAUCAGUUGCGAAUACUAUAACAAAGAUUAUACAUAAAUAUAUAUAUAUAUAUAUAUAUAGAUUCUAUAGGGUAUGUAUAUAAAAAAUGAAUGAAUUGGAAAGCUGAAAAAUUUAAGCUAUAAUAGUCUUAGAAAAUUCUCCAAUUUAGCAGUGAUGGCGUUUUUCAGACUCACCUACAUUUUUGGAAGACUAUUUUAAUUUAAGCUAAACUCAUUUUUUCGUUAACAAACGCCAAAUUAAACUUACCAUUUCAAAAUAUAUUUUAGAUGACACGUGUUAAAAAGCAUAAUUUUCAUAAAAUAGCUUGCAUUUAUUUUUUGCAUCUUGAAAACCAAUUCUGUUUAAGAGCUUCUGAGUUAAAAAAAUAUAUAUUUUAAAUGUCACAAACAGAAUUAUUUUCCUAGAUUUGAAAAAUAAAUACAUUUUAAUAAAACGCAGGCAUAAAAUCAUAUUAUGUGAAAAGGUAAUCAAUUGCCGUAGCCUUAUGACUCACCUACAACUUGCAUGUAACAUGCUGUAUGCAAUAUGAAUCUGUCAGUUGAAUGUGAAAAAGCCUUCAUUCAGUCAUAUGAUCUGUUAUGUAUCACAUGACUAAAUACACUGGCAGCUAUUUCCUCUCUCUUUGAUAAUGACAGUAUAGCAAAUUGUCUUGUUUAAAACUCAUUUUUCCUCUUUUUAAUUGUGUAUACUUUAUCUUGCUAUGUAGAGAUAAUUGCAUACGCAAAACUACCGUAUAUAUGAAUUAAAAGACCAUAAAAUAUUCCAUAUUAGGAGUGGUAAAGAUGGUCAAGAUGGUAUUAAAAACACAUUUGGUACUGAGUUAAAGUCUUGUUAGCUAGGGGUUGUGGGGAUAGACUCCUGUCCAGGUCAGAAGUUAUCUUUCAUAUCUCCUGCUCAAGGACUUACAAUCUUACCCAUGUUUGAGACCUGAGCAACAACAGCAACCUUUAGUCUAUCCAAUGAUCCUAAUUGUAGCCCUUACACCUCAUGGCAGACAACUAGUCAAGCCUAAUUUAAUUAGAGCCUCAUAUGCUACUCACAUACAUACUAAAACCCUACCUCAUGCUCAUGUGUCUGCUCCCUCUCACCCCAGGUCAGGGAAGGUAUCCUGGCCCAGUUACUGUUAGAAACUAUUUUCUUUCUCUAAUUUUUUGUGGAUUACCCCUACCCAGAGUGGAGGUCAUCGUCAAGUAAAGGUCUUUCAUUUUACUGUACCUUGUGGCAGCUCUUCAGAGUCCCACACCUUUCUUUAUUGGCUGCAGCUCGAGGCCUCUGUAGAGCUUGCAUCUGCUGCCUCGAAGCUUAAUCCUGUAAAUGUGUCCUUACAGCAUAGUGAAGUUGGACCUGAGCUGGCCUCACAUCCAGGUUUGGAGGAGGCCUGCAGAAUAUAUGUCCUCUCUGCUGAGAGGCUUUAUGUGGGAGUGGGUCUAUAUCCCCUGUGGACCGAUAACUGCGCAAAGCCUUGAGCGGCUGUUCCAGUUCUGCGGUUCUGCCUGUAAUGUGGAGAUUCCUGGACCUAGGGUUGCAGGAUAGGGGGAGCUUCUGUUUCGCUCGGGUCUCCUGGGCGCCUGAAGUGUGGUCAGACUGCCUUUUGGGGGACUUGCAAACUGCUCGGAGACUUCAGCCACAUAAGUCUCACAUAAUGUCCACUUACAACACAAUGAUUUUCCUGCUGGAAUUGUUUACACCGUGCUAUACAACAGUAAGAUGACAUAGUCUUAAAUUAGAGGGGCAAAGCUUUAAAAAUAAUAUCAGGAAGUACUUUUCAGAGAGGUUAGUGGACACAUGGAAUAGCCAUCCAGCUGAAGUUGUAGAGGUUAACACAGUGAGGGAGUUUAAGCAUGCGUGGGAUAUGCAUUAGACUAUCCUAAACUUAAGAUAAAGCCGCGGACUAAUGAAUGUAUUUAGAAAAUUGGGCAGACUCUUAUUCUAUGUUUCUAUAUAAUGUUUAGAUGCUGUACGCUGCGUUCUGAUUGGUUGUACCCUGCUAGUUGGGCCUACAGGUUUGCUGCUAUUUUGCACUAAGUUUUGUAUACUGACCAUUUCAAUAUGAAAUCAUGUUAUACAUAGCGCUGUAUUCUAUAUAGCAUGCUACUUACUAAGACUAGAUAGUAUUGGUUCUCAACUAGGGUUGAUAUUUAUGCCCAGCACACUAUAUCUUAUGCACUAUGCUUUGUACUAAUGAUAUACCUACUACCAAUGUUAGAAAUGUAUGUACUGCUAUAAUGUUGCCAACUAACACAUGCCGUUUAAGAUUACUGUAAUGUCUAAAAUCGUCAUAAAUUACCUUUGCAAUAAACCCUUCCUAAAUGGAAAAAAAGCUUUAUUACUUUAUCCUGUGCUUAGCUAGUGUACACUUCAUAUAGUAUACAUACUAAAACAUUAUGCACAUGGGUUCAAAGCCUAUGCUAAAACGUCUUUCAUUUCAAAGUGUUAAAUAGGAAAACCUAACAAAAGUCAAGUGGGCAUAAAUGCUCUCUAAACAAUAAAAGAAAUGUUUAAAUGUUCCUUUAAUUCACACUAUAAUCACCCAGUCUACAUAUCAGUGAAGUGGUCUGGGUGCAGUGGUGAUGUCCUUUUAAUUCUGCAAUGCACUGCUGCUUUUUAGAAACUGCAAUGUAAAUUGCAGGCACUAAAUCCACCUCUAAUAGCUGUCAGAAAGACAGCCACUAAAGGCACUUCCGCUGCACUGACCAAGUUAAACUGUGGAAUCCUAUAGGCAAGCAUUGAAUACAUUGAUCUCCUAUGGGGAAGCUUGAAUGCGUGAGCAGCACUCACUGCGCAUGCACAUAAAGUCUCCAAUGCUCAUCUAUGAGGAACAUUGAAUUGGACCAUCGUGGAGGAGGUCCUACCGCCUAAAUGACAUUGUGGAAGUAGGAGAGGUGAGCAGGUGGAAAAAGGUGAGAAUUUUAUAUUUUUUAUGGAAAACCAUCCAGAGGGGGUACUGUAUUUAACUAUGGAUAGAGGCCACUAGAGCGUUAGGCAUAAAAGUUCAUAUUCCUAGCACUAUAGUGUCUCUUUAAGAUAUUUUACAUAAUAGAUUUCAAUUUACCAAAUAAACAAGGCAAUGGUUUAACAUUCUCCUCUUCCCUUACACACAAAACAGCACAUUACAAACAGUUAAAAAAAUGAACAGCCAUUUAAAAAAAAAAAAGCAAAGUGCAUCCUGGUACAGUGGUACAUAUUAUACGCUGAGCACCCGAGACUGUCAAUGUAAAUGCAUUUCUGUUAUUAAAUUAUCUCUAAAUCUGCUAAAUCAUUUGGAAAAAUGUAAACAUAAUUAAAAUCUUAUGCUUUCUUAAUUAUUACAAAGCUUGGGGUUUUGGUAACAGUUCCAAUAUGACUGCCAAGUAAUACAUUGCUUGGCAGGUAAAGUGUUAAAACAAAACACCCCUAUCCGUCUUUCAAAACAUUGGCACGAACAGUUUGUAUAUGUUGGCACAUCUCAGCUUUUCUAUAUUUGAAGCAUGGUCAGAAAUCUAGCAAUCAAAGAAACAUGGUGGCUUAAAGUGGCUUUUCCGAAACAUUCCAGCAACAUCUUCCUGUUAUUCAGACGGGGACUGGCACAUCAGAAGAACUCUGCAAGAACAAUAAGGAUUUUUAGGGGCAUUAUGGUAGUGUAAUGGUAACACAUCUGCCCCCAAAAGUCCCUCAUUUUCCCUGCGGUAUACAGCUAUCUAGGAAGUGGUAGAU